rnacentral:sRNA from 1 species
AUACAAGUGCUACAUGCAUGUAAAUGCAGGAUGUUUUAAGGAAGUAUGAGUCAACCAUUUUUCUGUGAAUGAAAUAAUGUAAUACAUGUACGGUACUUCCUAUUGGUAGAAAUCAACAAAUUUUUUGUGUACAAGGUUUGUAAAGGGUCCUGUAGCCUGAAUCUGUAUUAUUAAACGUGUCGUCAAGUUCCUUGGUAGCUAAAUGUGUUUUGUUUUGUGGUUUUUUUUUUUAUUUUUCUGUCAUCACUAUUGGUGCUUUAUCAUGUUAUCACAUUGGUUGAAAAUAAAAUCAUGUAAC